rnacentral:rRNA from 1 species
GUUUCUAGGACGCUUGUCCGCUUUCCAAUACAAGUUCCACCUCGUGGACAUGACUUUUUAUUAUCUGGCCUCAAAUCAGGUAGGACUACCCGCUGAACUUAAGCAUAUCAAUAAGCGGAGGAAAAGAAACUAACAAGGAUUCCCCUAGUAACGGCGAGUGAAGCGGGAAAAGCUCAAAUUUGAAAUCUGGCAGCCUCAGGUUGUCCGAGUUGUAAUCUAUAGAAACGUUUUCCGCGCCGGCCCAUGUACAAGUCCCUUGGAAUAGGGCGUCAUAGAGGGUGAGAAUCCCGUCCUUGACACGGACCACCGGUGCUUUGUGAUACGUUUUCAACGAGUCGAGUUGUUUGGGAAUGCAGCUCAAAAUGGGUGGUAAAUUCCAUCUAAAGCUAAAUAUUGGCGAGAGACCGAUAGCGAACAAGUACCGUGAGGGAAAGAUGAAAAGCACUUUGGAAAGAGAGUUAAACAGUAUGUGAAAUUGUUGAAAGGGAAACGAUUGAAGUCAGUCGUGUCUAUUGGACUCAGCCGGUUCUGCCGGUGUACUUCCUUUAGAUGGGGUCAACAUCGGUUUUGAUCGCUGGAAAAGGGCGGGAGGAAUGUAGCACUCUCGGGUGAACUUAUAGCCUUCCGUCGUAUACAGUGGUUGGACUGAGGAACGCAGCAUGCCUUUAUGGCCGGGUUCGC